rnacentral:rRNA from 1 species
GACGAACGCUGGCGGCGUGCUUAACACAUGCAAGUCGAACGGUAAGGCCCUUCGGGGUACACGAGUGGCGAACGGGUGAGUAACACGUGGGUGAUCUGCCCUGCACUUCGGGAUAAGCCUGGGAAACUGGGUCUAAUACCGGAUAGGGCCACUGCCUGCAUGGGUGGUGGUGGAAAGCUUUUGCGGUGUGGGAUGGGCCCGCGGCCUAUUAGCUUGUUGGUGGGGUGAUGGCCUACCAAGGCGACGACGGGUAGCCGGCCUGAGAGGGUGACCGGCCACACUGGGAAUGAGAUACGGCCCAGACUCCUACGGGAGGCAGCAGUGGGGAAUAUUGCACAAUGGGCGCAAGCCUGAUGCAGCGACGCCGCGUGAGGGAUGACGGCCUUCGGGUUGUAAACCUCUUUCAGCACCGACGAAGCGCAAGUGACGGUAGGUGCAGAAGAAGGACCGGCCAACUACGUGCCAGCCGCCGCCGUAA